GAUGAACGCUGGCGGCGUGCCUAAUACAUGCAAGUCGAGCGAACGGACGAGAAGCUUGCUUCUCUGAUGUUAGCGGCGGACGGGUGAGUAACACGUGGAUAACCUACCUAUAAGACUGGGAUAACUUCGGGAAACCGGAGCUAAUACCGGAUAAUAUUUUGAACCGCAUGGUUCAAAAGUGAAAGACGGUCUUGCUGUCACUUAUAGAUGGAUCCGCGCUGCAUUAGCUAGUUGGUAAGGUAACGGCUUACCAAGGCAACGAUGCAUAGCCGACCUGAGAGGGUGAUCGGCCACGCUGGAACUGAGACACGGUCCAGACUCCUACGGGAGGCAGCAGUAGGGAAUCUUCCGCAAUGGGCGAAAGCCUGACGGAGCAACGCCGCGUGAGUGAUGAAGGUCUUCGGAUCGUAAAACUCUGUUAUUAGGGAAGAACAUAUGUGUAAGUAACUGUGCACAUCUUGUCGGUACCUAAUCAGAAAGCCACGGCUAACUACGUG
rnacentral:rRNA from 1 species